AUGGCUCAGGAUGACGCCGGCGGCGUGCCUAAUACAUGCAAGUCGAGCGGAGAAUUUAGCAAUAGAUUCUUAGCGGCGAACGGGUGAGUAACGCGUUGGUGACCUGCCUCGAAGUUUGGGAUAACAGUUCGAAAGGACUGCUAAUACCGGAUGUGAUCGCGGAGAUUAGAGGCUCUGUGAUUAAAGGAGAAAUUCGCUUCGAGAGGGGCCUGCGUCCCAUCAGCUAGUUGGUAAGGUAAAGGCUUACCAAGGCGAUGACGGGUAGGGGACCUGAGAGGGUGGCCCCCCACAAUGGAACUGAAACACGGUCCAUACACCUACGGGUGGCAGCAGUAGGGAAUAUUGCAUAAUGGGCGAAAGCCUGAUGCAGCAACGCCGCGUGUGCGAUGAAGGCCUUCGGGUCGUAAAGCACUUUUGGAGGGGAUGAGGAAGGACAGUACCCUUCGAAUAAGCUUCGGCUAACUACGUG
rnacentral:rRNA from 1 species